rnacentral:rRNA from 1 species
CCUACGGGUGGCAGCAGUAAGGAAUAUUGCGCAAUGGGCGAAAGCCUGACGCAGCGACGCCGCGUGGGGGAUGAAGGUCUUCGGAUUGUAAACCCCUUUCGGCAGGGAAGAUGGGAUGGGUAACCAUUCGGACGGUACCUGCAGAAGCAGCCACGGCUAACUUCGUGCCAGCAGCCGCGGUAAUACGAAGGUGGCAAGCGUUGUUCGGAUUCACUGGGCGUACAGGGAGCGUAGGCGGUUGGGUAAGCCCUCCGUGAAAUCUCCGGGCCUAACCCGGAAAGUGCAGAGGGGACUGCUCAGCUAGAGGAUGGGAGAGGAGCGCGGAAUUCCCGGUGUAGCGGUGAAAUGCGUAGAGAUCGGGAGGAAGGCCGGUGGCGAAGGCGGCGCUCUGGAACAUUUCUGACGCUGAGGCUCGAAAGCGUGGGGAGCAAACAGGAUUAGAUACCCUUGUAGUC